rnacentral:rRNA from 1 species
UACGAAGGGGGCUAGCGUUGUUCGGAAUCACUGGGCGUAAAGGGCGCGUAGGCGGCCGAUCGAGUCGGGGGUGAAAGCCUGUGGCUCAACCACAGAAUUGCCUUCGAUACUGUUUGGCUUGAGACCGGAAGAGGUUAGUGGAACUGCGAGUGUAGAGGUGAAAUUCGUAGAUAUUCGCAAGAACACCAGUGGCGAAGGCGGCUGACUGGUCCGGUUCUGACGCUGAGGCGCGAAAGCUAGGGGAGCAAACAGG